ACACUGAAAAAAUAUAACUUUGUUUUUCACUCUCCUUAGUCAGCUGAUCAGUUCCUCUUCUUCUUGUGGCCUUUCAUGUGUACACAUUGCGGGGCUUGAACGGGGCGGGGCAGCGUAUGGAUUUUAGUAGGUAAUUUUAAUUGGUUCCUUGUUUUAAUAUUAUUUUGUGAGUUAAUGAUAUUUAUUUAGUCAUUGUUGUUAUUGAUAUUAUUUCAUCACUAUUUUUUUUUAACGUCAAGGCAUUUAAACACACACACACACACAAAUCAAUAGUUAAAUGUGAGAAUAACCCAUUACUUAUUUUUCUUUUUUUUCAUUUCUUCAGUAACAUAUCAACGCAUUCAAAUCAUGACAAAAAAAAUAAAUGAAAAAAGAAAAAAAAAUCGCAAAUUGACCAUACAAAAAAUAUUCAUAAUCCAAGAAAGCAGAAAAAAACAGGAAAACUGUGAAAAUAACCCAUUUCUUACCCAUAUAAAUAUCCUGCCCCGCCCCGUUCCAGCCCCGCAGUGUCCAGUGGCCGCCGUGGGACAAACCCAGGAGGAAAAGACUGAAAAAAAACCUGUGAUAUUUCUCAAGAUUUUUCGCACCUUGGACAAGACAGAGACAAGAGAACAUGUAGGAUAAAUGAUACAAGUCCCAGGAACCCUUUAAUACCCUGCAGAAGGCGCGGAAGGACUUGGAAAUGGGUUAAAUAAGGAGAAAUAUCAGAGGGCGGUCCACUCUUGUCUUUCCUGGGAGGAAGGAAGCGCCGCGCCGUCCUGCCCCGCGAGGUGUGCGCUGCUUCACGUUUGCUUUUAUUGUAACUUUCUUUCUAGAAUUUAAGUUAUUUUCAUUCAAUUCUUUGUUUAUGGCACAACAUAAAUCCACAAAAUAAAAUGAAUAAAAUAAAUAAA